rnacentral:rRNA from 1 species
GAUGAACGCUGGCGGCGUGCCUAACACAUGCAAGUCGAGCGAUUCUCUUCGGAGAAGAGCGGCGGACGGGUGAGUAACGCGUGGGUAACCUGCCCUGUACACACGGAUAACAUACCGAAAGGUAUGCUAAUACGAGAUAAUAUGCUUUUGUCGCAUGGUAGAAGUAUCAAAGCUCCGGCGGUACAGGAUGGACCCGCGUCUGAUUAGCUAGUUAGUAAGGUAACGGCUUACCAAGGCGACGAUCAGUAGCCGACCUGAGAGGGUGAUCGGCCACAUUGGAACUGGGACACGGUCCAAACUCCUACGGGAGGCAGCAGUGGGGAAUAUUGCACAAUGGGCGAAAGCCUGAUGCAGCAACGCCGCGUGAGCGAUGAAGGCCUUCGGGUCGUAAAGCUCUGUCCUCAAGGAAGAUAAUGACGGUACUUGAGGAGGAAGCCCCGGCUAACUACGUGCCAGCCGCCGCCGUAA